rnacentral:rRNA from 1 species
CCAUGAGUACAGUGGCGCACGGGUGAGUAACACGUGACUAACCUACCCUGGAGUGGGGGAUAACUGAGGGAAACCUUAGCUAAUACCGCAUAACACCUACGGGUCAAAGGAGCAAUUCGCUUCAGGAGGGGGUCGCGGCCGAUUAGUUAGUUGGCGGGGUAAUGGCCCACCAAGACAGUGAUCGGUAUCCGGCCUGAGAGGGCGCACGGACACACUGGAACUGAAACACGGUCCAG